UUGAUUUAGGUUUGACCAUGAACCGCCUAUGUAACAACGAUCACUGUAAAGAGAUCUUCUCUAUGAUAGGCAUGGUAGGCGAGUGGGUGGGAUUUGUUGGCCUGCUAAUAUUCCCGAUUAUGUACUAUACAGAUUUCCAGCAUUUGUCAUUAAUGUUGUCCAGAGAAGGCGUCUCCAUCAUUCUGAGGCAAAAGACCCAGGACCCAGAAAACCCCCAAUAAAAUAUAAAGUUAAGAACCAGGGGCAGAGCGCCAGGAAGACAACUAAAU